rnacentral:lncRNA from 1 species
UUUUUUUUUUUUUUUUUUUGUCUUUUGUCUUUUUGGUUGUUGUUGUUGUUAUUGUUGCUAUUUCUACAUCAAGAAAUUUUUUUAAAAAAAGAACUAUAAAAGGAAAGGGCAGAUGGUGGGGCCAUACCUUCGGACUCCCCUGCUGGGUAAGCAGGAAGAGGGGCUGCAGAGCGUCAUACAAGUUGUUUGGAAUUGGGGUUCUUGCUUAACCUCUGAGCCUCCAUGCCUAUACAAACCGAUAAAAGUUUCCCAUGAUCUAGGAUUCCCUUUUUUUCUUCUUUUUUUCUUUUUUACAGCCACACCUGUGGCAUAUGGAAGUUCCUGGGCUAGGGGUUGAGUUGUAGCUGCAGCUGAGGCUUACGCCAGAGCCAUGGCCCCUUGCUGUCCACCCAGCACCUCCCAGGGCCUGCCAGCCCUGCCAAAGCCAAAAGAGGGUCUCUCCCAGUGGCUGGGUCCCUGCCAGUUUGGGAGAGUGAUGACCCUCCCACAAGAGGUGGGGACCAAUGGGAUGUGAGCAGAUCAGUGCCACAGGCUUUCCUCCUGCCUUUUUGGGGUGCUGGGGGUGGAGGUCAGGCAAGGCUUUCUGUUCUCUUGGAAGAAGUUUCUUAGAAGCUUGUACCCGGUCAGGUGACUUGCAGGUGGAGGGUUGAGCUGCUCCCACCUGACGGAGUUGCAGAGGCCUCAUAGUGUGGACCUGGAUCAGCUCUGGUGUGGACACUGUCAGCUCACUUUAGUGCUUCUUUCUGCCCCUGAUCCCUCUCUGCAAGUUAGGUUUGAUCAGGGGAGUUCCUGUCAUGGCGCAGCGGAAACAAAUCCGACCAGGAGCCAUGAGGAUGUGGGUUCAAUCCCUGGCCUCGCUCAGUGGGUUAAGGUUCCGGCGUUGUCAUGAGCUGUGGUGUAGGUCACAGAGGCUGCUCAGAUCUGGUGUUGCUGUGGCUAUAGUGUAGGCUGGCAGCUGUAGCUCCGAUUCAGCCCCUAGCCUGGGAACCUCCAUAUGCCAUGGAUGUGGCCCUAAAAAUACAAAAAGACAAAAAAAAAUUAGGUUUGAUCAUCCAACAAUCUCAAGGGGCUGCUGUGAGAUGUAAUGAAAAGACACAACUAAUGUGCUGAGUCUAGCACCUUGUAUUAAUAUGAGAAGGAAAGUGCCACUCUGAGCUUGGGUUGAAAUGGUUUCUCUGGUGUUAACUGAAACUAUUUCCAUGACGGCUUGCUUUGUGCAGAUGUCCUAGGAGGUGGGUGGCAGGCUUUUGCUUUCCUUCACUCUCUCUGGCCUCCAGCAAGGGGUGUGUGUGUGUGUGUGUGUGUGUGUGUGUGUGUGUGUGUGUGUGUGUGUGUGUUACGGAAGGGGUGAGAUGAUUAGCUCACGGGCUCAACAGCAAAACCACCUGAUGUUUAUUAACUGAAAACCUGUUCCUGCAGAAUUCCAACCAGCAGCCACACCCAAAAGCCAAUGCAAGAAGAAUUUUGUCACACCCAGGAUGAGCCACCAAUUUAUGAUGCCUCUGUCCUUAGUCCCAGAUGGCUUUGCAUCUGUAUGAUUUAGGGAUUAAGUAGUAAAUACACCCACUGAGACAGAGACACAGAGAAAAACUACCCCAAAAUGCUAACAGGCGGGCAUCCCACAGGGGGAAAGAGGGCAAUUACAUUAAUUGGGUCCCAGGUGCUCUGCAAACAUUGCUUCAUUUACUCUUCAUAAGAACCCUAGGAGUUCCUGUGGUUAAAGACCAGUGGGUUAAGGACCUGUCUCUGUGAGGAUGCAAGUUUGUUCCCUGGCCUCACUCACUGGGUUGAGGAUCUGGCAUUGCCACAAGUCACAGUUUUGUUUUGUUUUUUUUUUUCUUUUUGUCUUUUUAGGGCCUUGCCCAUGGCAUAUGGAGGUUCCCAGGUUAGAGGUUGAAUCUGAGCUAUAGCUGCCAGCCUACACCAGAGCCACAGCAACUUGGAAUCUGAGUUGAGGCCGCAUCUGUCACCUACACCACAGCUCACAGAAACGCUGGAUCCUUAACCCACUGAGCAGGGCCAGGAAUUGAACCUGUGUCCUCAUGGAUGCUAGUCAGGUUUGUUAAAGACUGAGCCAUGACGGGAACUCCUCCACAAGCCACAGUUUUGAUCACAGAUGCAGCUCCGAUCUGGUGUGGCUGUGGUUUAGGCCACAGCUGCAGCUCCGAUUUCACCCCUAGCCUGGGAACUUCCAUGCAGCUGUUAAAAAAGAAAAAAAAAAAAAAAUCCUACAUCAUAGAUAGCUUUUAUCAAUUUCUAGAAAUGGGGGCUCAGAGGUUCAGAAAGAACCUGAAUUUCACAGACUUUGUAACUGGGGGAGUCAGGAUUCACACCCAUGACUGACUCUGCAGCCACCAUCCAGCUCUAUCAGGGUGUUCUUUACCAUCACUCUGCCCCCCGUGUCUGUGGCAGAGGCCACAUGCUGAUUGUGACACUCUGGUUGUGACAUUCUUUCUCACCAAUGCUCUUCCACACAUAGCCAGCCACUCUGGACCUGCAGGGCGAGCAGGCAAACCAAACCUGUUGGCCCUCUUGGCACCAUUCAAACUGCCUUCCCAUUGGUCAUUAUGGGCUUUUUGUGCCAACUCAGGUGUGUCCUGGGGGCCAGCUCCCCCUACAGAAUGCUGAUGCUGGGCUCAGAUCGGCAGUGCCAGGUGUAUGAUGGGCUUCCUCGGAAGGUUUAUCAUUUGAUGUGGGGCAUUGUUUUUCACGAGUCAAACAUUUGAAUCAAUCGUUUCGCUUCCCUCUGUUAAAUGUUCGUACCUCUGGGAUAGGUGACAUCCAUACUUCAUUGCAAAUUUACUUUCUGGAUCACUUUUCUAUUUUAUUUUUUACCAUGCCCGUGACAUGCAGAAGCUCUUGGGCCAGGGAUUAAACCCUCACCACAGCAGUGACUGGAGCCACAGCAAAGACAAUGACAGGUCCUUAACCUACUGUGCCACCAGAGAACUCCCUGGAUCCCCUUUUUUCUUUGUCCAGAAGGAUAGGCUAGAUUUUUCCAGUUGUCUGGGGAUGUUGCCUGAAAUGCAAAGCCUAUAACAAUAGAUGAUCUCCAAUUCCUCCCCCCCCAACCCCCCCAUCCACUCUCACCUCCACCAACACACGUGCAUUUUAGAGAGAUACAAGACCAUCCAAACCGGUCCUGUGACUUCUGGUCUUGGCACAUCACCCACCUCCAGCCCAGAUCUAAGAAAAGUCUAAAGAUGGCUCAGAGAGCUGAGGAUUUCUUUAAUGAGAAAGAAUGUGCAAGCUGCCCUGUGUAGCUUCACAAAACUUUCUUGGGCACAAAACAAAUACACUUCCAAUAUUUGUUAGGCCAGGGCUGGAAAGUUUCCUUGGGGUCCAACAUCACCUGACUGAUGCCUUGGGAGGUAGCUAGGCUUGAGGGUCUUGAAAGCGCCCUAGCCAUGGUUCCUACCUGCCUGGAAGGGGAGACCCCAGAAAAAGGUGCCUCUGAGGGUUGAACUUUCAAGCAGGAGCUAAGGAAUGUUUGUGGAGUUAGUUGGAGAGGGCAUCCCCCAUAUCGCCUGGAUCAGAGGAUGGGGCGAUGCUGCAGAUCCCCAGCAAAGGGUCUUCAAGAACCCACGAGAGACCCCCUUGAGGAAUAGGGGAAAAGCCUGCCUGUAGACAGUUGAUAGAUAACAGUCCCCUAAAGAUGUCCAUAUUCCUAAUCUCCAGACUCUGUGACUAUCUUGCCUUAAUGACAAACAAACAAACAACACCCCCCCCAACAAAAUAAAACAGAAACCCUUUGCAGAUGUGAUUAAGGAUCUUGAGAUGAGGAGAUGGGCCUAGAUUACCCAGGCAGCCCAAUGUAAAAACAAGAGUCAUUUAAAAAGAUACAAGGAGUUCCCGUCAUGGCGCAGCAG